CUGAUCCGCGCCGCCGUUCGCCCGCAAUUGUAGUUUUAAUCUCUGUGUAUAUCCUGCUGUAACUGGCAAAGGCGGGGCUUCUGCGGGCUAACUGACACUGACGUCAGCGCCGCUCAUGAAUAUUCAUCCCUCCCUCUGGUUAGGAGCGGCGAAGAGAGGGAGAACAGGAGGGAUGAAUAUUCAUGAGCGGCGCUGACUUCAGUGUCAGUUAGCCCGCAGAAGCCCCGCCUUUGCCAGUUACAGCAGGAUAUAUACAGAGAUUAAAACUACAAUUACGGGUGAACGGCGGCGCGGAUCAGACCAAGGAGGUCUUGCCGGGAUGUUGCUCCAGACUUUCAGAUCCAGCCCUUGUACUCCUUCAAUGACCUUGUAGUAUCUUCUUCUUUCAUAACCUUAUCACGCAACUGGCUGCAAACUGAGUUUCAUAAAUGCUCUGUUAUUGGUUUGCCCAAAAUGAACAUGUGUAGGAGUAAAGACAGAAAACCACUACUGCACAAUGGAACCAUUUAUUAAAGAGAUUCUACUGUAAUACGUCUAUGGAAGAAUUAAAAUUUACGACUAGAGUUCUCUUCAGUGUUGUAACAACUAACUGUAAACUUUUAUAACUAACGCACUGUAAGACUGCAUCACUAACUGUGUACCUACUCAAAAUAAAAUUAUUAGUUAACCCUUCAAGAUCUUGAAAGUCUCCCUUAAACUUAGCAGUGACCAACAUACAAUUACAACAGUCCAAAAAAAGCGUAUGAUCAUACAGAGGAUAAAGGAUUCUGAAUUACGAAAAAAAGACACAAGAGCAGUUGGAGCACAAAAUAGAUUUUCCUAACACCUGAGAAAACAGUCUUUUCCUGAUCAUUCAGCCUGGGCGGACCGUGUAGUGACAGUAUUCUUUGAACUUGACACAUUUAUUUUGUUAGAUAUCCUCUGUUCGUUGUACAAUGCUAUGAAAUGUGUAGUCGAUUUGUAUAUGUGCGGUGCUAACCACUUAUGUAUCUAACCUGGCACAUGUAGUUUAUUUAAAUAAAAAAAACAAUG